rnacentral:rRNA from 1 species
GUGAGGAAUAUUGGUCAAUGGGCGCAAGCCUGAACCAGCCAUGCCGCGUGCAGGAUGACGGUCCUAUGGAUUGUAAACUGCUUUUAUACAGGAAGAAACACCUCUACGUGUAGAGACUUGACGGUACUGUAAGAAUAAGGAUCGGCUAACUCCGUGCCAGCAGCCGCGGUAAUACGGAGGAUCCAAGCGUUAUCCGGAAUCAUUGGGUUUAAAGGGUCCGUAGGCGGUCUAAUAAGUCAGUGGUGAAAGCCUUCCGCUUAACGGGAGAACGGCCAUUGAUACUGUUAGACUUGAAUUAUUAGGAAGUAACUAGAAUAUGUAGUGUAGCGGUGAAAUGCUUAGAGAUUACAUGGAAUACCAAUUGCGAAGGCAGGUUACUACUAAUGGAUUGACGCUGAUGGACGAAAGCGUGGGUAGCGAACAGGAUUAGAAACCCGAGUAGUCC